GGGGAGCAGACAUAUCCUGCAUCUCAACAUAAAAAUUUGUUUAUUUAUUUUAUAUUGUGUUAAAAAAUUCAUGUUAUGCAUGAAAUUUAAGGAGAAUGUUUCUAGCAAUCUUUAUUUUCGUGUGUAUUUGCAUCAUUACCUACAUGACUUUUCGGAUGUUUUUCGAUUUUGAAAAACCACAUGCGUAAUAUAAAACAGAAAAGUCGUAACGCUUAGUCAAUAUUUGAGCAAAAUAUAAUAAUAAUGAUUUUAUUUACAAAAAAUUGUCGAAGUCGUAACGCUGAGUCAAUAUUAAAAAUAAUAAUAAUUAUAACUUUAUUAUUAGGCCUAUUUCUAUAUUGUAUUUCUUAUUCCAAAGUCGGUAGUUUCAGAAAAUGCCUAGAGUUAAACCCGCUGCCAAGCCGGUGAAGCGGAAAUCAGCACCUACGAGCGGGCCUAAACCAAAAAGUGGGAUCAGUCGAAUCUACAGAAGUUUCGUCAGAGGAAAACAUACCCUGUACAGUCAUUAUUGGUACCAUGGUUACUGCAAGUGUGGUUACUUUUUCCACUAGUUCCAGCAAUGAAUCUGAUUUCAAUGUAGAGACAGCCAAUCAUGUUGAUACAACAGCCUUGUACAUCUUGUAGUUCAACACCUAACUUCAUCAUGCGCACUGCAUGGCUGUAACCUCCGAUGGCUGUUGAUGUAACCAACUGUUACCGUACCCGCACCAAUGAAGUUACAACUCUCUAGAUGCGUUCAAAAAUCUGUCGUUGGACUUGAACAGUGAUUUAUAUGUAAACCUUGUACAUCUCGUAGUUCAACACCUCACUUCGUCAUGGCGCACUGCAUGGCUGUAACCUCCGAUGGCUGUUGAUGUAACCAACUAUUACCGUACCUGCACCAAUGAAGUUACAAUUCUCUAGAUGCCUUCCACAAUCUGUCGGUGGACUUGAAUAGUGAUUUAUAUGUGAACCUUGUAUAUCUCGUAGUUCAACACCUAACUUCGUCAUGGCGCACUGCAUGGCCGUAACCUCCGAUGGCUGUCGAUGUAACCAACUAUUACCGUACCUGCACCAAUGAAGUUACAAUUCUCUAGAUGCCUUCCACAAUCUGUCGGUGGACUUGAAUAGUGAUUAAUAUGUGUAGUGAGUAUCUUGCCCCAGAGCUCACUGUUGUCUUACAUGUGACUGAUUUUCGUACGAUUCCCGAUUUGUAUGUAUAACUAAUGAAAUAAGACUAUGCAAUCUUUAGCUGAACUUAAAUAGGGUUAUAUUUAGUGAGCAUCUGUUCCCAGGGCUCGCUACAACUGUACAUAAUUAUUUUCAAUAUGUGUGAAAUUUCAAUUUGCUUAUUUGUGUCACACUGGAUGAAACAUUUGCAAUGUAUUAUUUGCCAGUAGGUUGCUUAACAGCUUCAUUUGUAUAUUUGCCUAUUUCAUAUUCAUUUGUAUAUUUGCCUACUUCAUGAUGAUUUUCAUUUACAUGUAUUUGCCAUUUGGGUUGUCAAAAUCACCCAAUGUAUUUGCCCAUUUCAUGAUGAUUUUCAUUUACAUGUAUUUGCCAUUUGCCAUUUGGGUUGCCAAAAUCGCCCAAUGUAUUUGGGUCGGUAACCUUGGUUACGAUUGUAACCAGUAACUAAAUGUAAUUUCCUGAAAAUUGUAGUGCUGCCAUGGCCAUUAUUCGCCAUUAAACUUUAAGAAAUUUAUAUAUGUGUGGUUUUCUCUAAUAAUUCGAUUUAAUUGCUGAAAAUUAAAUCGCGUUAUUAGAGAGGCCCAUAUUCGGGGUUAUCGGGUCAUUAGUAUUUCCCCGUUCUUUCAACUUUGGGUAUUUUAGUUGAAUCCUUAGGACUUCCUUUUCCGUUAGAGAAUGAAGGGGAGCAGACAUAUCCUGCAUCUCAAGAUAAAAAUUUGUUUAUUUAUUUUAUAUUGUGUUAAAAAAUUCCCACCCACCAACACCCUAUAUGUAAUGUAUGAAUAUAUGAAAUAAAUCGUCUGUUUGGUGUCAAUUUUCUGCUGCCUGAAUUUUUUCUAUUUUCAGCCUUGUACAUCUUGUAGUUCAACACCUAACUUCAUCAUGCGCACUGCAUGGCUGUAACCUCCGAUGGCUGUUGAUGUAACCAACUGUUACCGUACCCGCACCAAUGAAGUUACAACUCUCUAGAUGCGUUCAAAAAUCUGUCGUUGGACUUGAACAGUGAUUUAUAUGUAAACCUUGUACAUCUCGUAGUUCAACACCUCACUUCGUCAUGGCGCACUGCAUGGCUGUAACCUCCGAUGGCUGUUGAUGUAACCAACUAUUACCGUACCUGCACCAAUGAAGUUACAAUUCUCUAGAUGCCUUCCACAAUCUGUCGGUGGACUUGAAUAGUGAUUUAUAUGUGAACCUUGUAUAUCUCGUAGUUCAACACCUAACUUCGUCAUGGCGCACUGCAUGGCCGUAACCUCCGAUGGCUGUCGAUGUAACCAACUAUUACCGUACCUGCACCAAUGAAGUUACAAUUCUCUAGAUGCCUUCCACAAUCUGUCGGUGGACUUGAAUAGUGAUUAAUAUGUGUAGUGAGUAUCUUGCCCCAGAGCUCACUGUUGUCUUACAUGUGACUGAUUUUCGUACGAUUCCCGAUUUGUAUGUAUAACUAAUGAAAUAAGACUAUGCAAUCUUUAGCUGAACUUAAAUAGGGUUAUAUUUAGUGAGCAUCUGUUCCCAGGGCUCGCUACAACUGUACAUAAUUAUUUUCAAUAUGUGUGAAAUUUCAAUUUGCUUAUUUGUGUCACACUGGAUGAAACAUUUGCAAUGUAUUAUUUGCCAGUAGGUUGCUUAACAGCUUCAUUUGUAUAUUUGCCUAUUUCAUAUUCAUUUGUAUAUUUGCCUACUUCAUGAUGAUUUUCAUUUACAUGUAUUUGCCAUUUGGGUUGUCAAAAUCACCCAAUGUAUUUGCCCAUUUCAUGAUGAUUUUCAUUUACAUGUAUUUGCCAUUUGCCAUUUGGGUUGCCAAAAUCGCCCAAUGUAUUUGGGUCGGUAACCUUGGUUACGAUUGUAACCAGUAACUAAAUGUAAUUUCCUGAAAAUUGUAGUGCUGCCAUGGCCAUUAUUCGCCAUUAAACUUUAAGAAAUUUA